UUCAUCAUCUCUCUCAGAACUCAGAGACGAACCAGACCUCUCCCUUUGAAACCCUAGCCUCCACCCCUCCCCUUCGCCGUAAACUCGGCGGCAACGAUUCCGAUGGUCGUGAGAUUAACAUCCCUAGAACAUCUGACCACCCCCAAUCCAAAUCCACCAUCUGUUUCCCUCGAAUCAUCCUAGAACUUCUCGAAUCUUCAAUCGAAGAUUCGAGCCAAACAUGAACCUAUCCCAACUAGGCCCAAAUUCUUACCAGACAACCCCAGACUUCCCUCAUGCCCAAACCGCCUUUGGUUUGGUUCGAAUCUGCCUAGAAAUGCUCAAAUCCCAAAUCAUAUAAAAAUAGAACCCUAAAUACCACGAACUGGAAUUUGAUCGGAUUGAGGGUCCUAACCGACCUUAGUCAAGUGUUCUCAGUCGAGAACACAUGAUUAAGGUCCGUUUAACCUAAAAUAUGUUCAAGCUCGAGAUUUGUCCGAAUCCAUUUGAUUUCUGAUUUUUCCUUUUGAUGUAUUUCUUCUUCCUUUUGUC
rnacentral:lncRNA from 1 species